rnacentral:lncRNA from 1 species
ACUUCUUGAAUUUAUUUAUACUUAAUGUAUGCCACAUUUUUAUUUUGAUAGAAAAUGGUGGGUACUCAAACUGGGGACGAGGUGGGGAUCGUGGUGGCUGGGGAUAUCGUGGUAAGUAUGCAUAGCAUGGAUACCUCGUCUUGUUUUUGUCACCUUACUACCUUGUAUCAUGUUAUAUUAAUGCAUUUGGUGCUGAAUAUAUAUGUAUGUUGUGCGGUAUCAGGCUCUGGUUAUGGAAGAGGCAGGGGUGGAGGUGGCAGAGGUUAUGGUUAUGGUCGUGGCCGUGGACGGAUGGGCAACCGUCCAAGGGGUGGUAGCAACCACAACCAGGCAUAGUUGUGGAUUGGAUCUCUAGUUUGCUAUACCUAAAAACGCUUGCCUUGGCAUAUUUUCUUUCUGUCCAGUCUAUAUCUAAAAAAAAUGAAAUUAUGGCUUGUUGUAUCGAUGAGUUGGUGCGCAGUGAUUGUUUUGUUUUUCAGCAUCAUGUUAUGUGGGCUAGGCAUAUAUAUCGUCAAUGAAGCCAAGUUCAAGUAGUCAAUAUCUGAAAACUAUCCGUUCAAUUCACUGGUUACAGAUGCUUUGCUGUAUUUAUUCAGUUAGAACAUAUUCUUUUGUUUAUCUUAAAAUGUCCUAAUCAUUUCUUUCUUUUCAUAUUUGAUUUUCUAUUUCUGUUUUCGUAAUCUCUUUGAAUAUUUGGC